UACGAAGGGGGCUAGCGUUGCUCGGAAUCACUGGGCGUAAAGCGCACGUAGGCGGUUUGCUAAGUCAGGGGUGAAAUCCUGGAGCUCAACUCCAGAACUGCCUUUGAUACUGGCGAUCUUGAGUCUGGGAGAGGUGAGUGGAACUCCGAGUGUAGAGGUGAAAUUCGUAGAUAUUCGGAAGAACACCAGUGGCGAAGGCGGCUCACUGGCCCGGUACUGACGCUGAGGUGCGAAAGCGUGGGGAGCAAACAGG
rnacentral:rRNA from 1 species